UUUUUUUUUUUUUGGUAUUACCUCUCUCACUAUAUGACACAAUAAUCAGUCUCUAGAAUAGAAACCUCCAAAUGAUCCUUGAUUUCUUCCUGUCUUGUUCAUCCCCACGGCUAAUCAACUAUUAAGUCCAGUUAAUUCUGCCUCUGAAUUAGCUCUGCAAUCCUAUUCUCUCCAUUGUCAAUCACCACUGUUUAAGUUGGGGUUCUCAGUUACUUUUACUAUUGCAAUAGAAUUCUGUUUUCCUUGUCUCUCAUACAUUGUCUUCAAGAUGAUCCUUCUAAGACUCAAAUCUGGGAUAAUCUCUUCCUUGCUUAAAAUCCUGUAGUAUCUAUUCAUUGUCUAUAAAAUCCAAGCCACUUAUUGUGACAUAGUAGGCAUUUAAUGAUCUGGACUCUGUCCAACUCUCUAGCCUUGAUUUUGGACAAUUUUUUCCUACAACGAUGGAGCCAACUGGGAGGUCGCAGCUGGGCAGGAAAAUGGGGCAUGUACAUAUGACUACCUCCACAUCCUAAUGUCUCAAGGAAAAUAAUUUUCUAAUUGUUGGAGACAUGAUUGUGCGUUAAAUUGAUUACAUAAAUUAUGAAAUAUGUCACGAUUCUAUAUGUUCUACAAUUCUUUGGUCAAGCUUAAAGAGAGAAAAAAGAAAAGCCACAAGAGCAGUUUCAUGGAGAAACUUAUGUUUAUUGGGUCAGAUGGUUCCCCUCAGUGAUGUUCUUCACUCUAUGCCUCUGACGCCUGCCUCACACUGUACACCCUAUUAAUGAACAUGCCCUACUUCUUCACACUGUAGGACAUUUGCCCAUGCUAUAUUCAUUGCCUGGAGUCUUCUGCCUUCCCUUGUUUACCUGGAAAAUUCCCAUUUGGCUUUCAAAAUGCUGCCUAGAUGUUAUCACCUCCUGAAAGCCUUUCCUGGUCUCAUCUCUUCCACUUUGUUAAGUUAAUUACCCUUUCCCUUGCUUUACUUUUGUAUCUUGCUCAUACUUCAACCGUUAUACUUUGUAUGCUGUAUUAUAAUUCUUUUUUAUGUAUUCCUCUCCUGAAUAGACUUUGAGAUCUUUUAAAACAUGCCUUUCUUGCUAAAAGGAUUGAAUUAAACCAAGAGUCAAAGCAAUAUUCCAUGGAAACAUAGAGGGAAGAGUGAUUAAUUCUGAUUCAGAAAAGCAGGAAAAAUGGCACAAAGGACAUGGCAUUUCAAUAGACUGUUCAUUGAUUAGCACAUAUCUAUUCAGUGUCCCCUAUGUGGCAGGCAUUGUUAUAGGAGCUAGAUAUAUAUUCAUUAGUAGACAAGCAAACACAGUUCCUCCUUUAUAGAGCUCAGAGUCUAGUUGGGUAGACAGACAUUAAACUAAAAGGGAAAAAUAUCCUGUAAAUAAAAGUACAUAAAUGAUGAUAUAUGCUAAGAAGGAAAAGUGCAGGUGCUAUAAAGCACCUAAUUUGGAUUGGGUGGGAUGGGUGAGGGAAAUCCAUGCUGAGGAGUUGUCGCUUAAGCUAAGACCUGAAUACUGAGUAGAAGUUAGCUGGUAAAGAGUGGGGAAAAGAUUAUUCCAGGCCAACAGCACAUGGAAAUAUCCUGAAGCAAAAAAGGGGUUGAAGUAUUUAGAGAAUAAAAGGAAAGUCAGUGUAACUGUAAUGUAGUGAAUGAGGAGGAGAGUUACUUGAGAUAAGGCUGAAGAGGUAGGCAGGAGACAGAUUCAAAGUUGUUUCUACUAGGACUGUUUUUGGCUGUAUGUAAUAGAAACCAAGUUAUGGCAGUUUAACCAAAUAAAGGGUUUAUUUUUCUUACAUAAUGGGAGUCGCAAAGUCAGCAGUCCAGGGCUAGUUCAAGUACAAGGACCCAAGCUUCCAUCUUUCUGUUCUGUGAUCUUUUGAGCAUGGCCCCCCUCAUCAUGCUUCCAAGACAGCUGCUCCACCUCUAGGCAGGAUAAAGGGG
ensembl:lncRNA